GAAGAUCCUUCACAGUUUUUGACAAAAGGAUGAGACCAGAGACGAAGAAUAAACAAAUGAAUGAAGAAAUGAAGGGAUGAACAGGGAUUCAGAGUGUAUCCUUCCUGAAAUUCAGAACAUUCGCCAUGACCUGUCCUCAGGGCGGAUGCACACAUAGCAGGUCCUUGUGGAUAGAAUAGGCCCAAGGAGUGAACAGGAGCCUGUUCACCCCUGUACUUGGCAUGUGACAGUGUGGGGAUGAGUUCCUGGCUACAUGAAAACUGAAGAAAGAGGACUUGGAGGCAGAUCUGAAGAAGCCUGGCUCAGGAUCCUUGUCUCAGCUCUGAAGAAUCCAGCAGGGAAGAGCAACAAAAGAAGUUAAAGAGGCAGAAACAAAAGCUGGGGAAGGAAAAUGUCAAAGGGAGCGGUGGUCAAGGAUAUCAACAGUUUGCUCUGGGCAAGGACAGUGGAGCUGGGGAAAGCAAAUCAACUGGAAGAUGGGGCUGCUGCCAAAACAUUUCUAGAACUUUGAAAAAGUUAGACAACAUUUUCAUCCUGGGCCUAGUAAGCAAAUGGGUAUGAAGAGAGACAGUUUGCAAACAGCCUG
rnacentral:lncRNA from 1 species